AGUUUAGUGUAAAUAUAUACUAAAUGAGUUCUGCCCAGUGUAAAUUUUUAUAAAUGGCCGCAGUACCCUGACUGUGCUAAGGUAGCAUAAUCAAUUGGCUUUUAAUUAAAGUCUGGAAUGAAAGAAAUAAUGAAGAAGUGCUGUCUUAAAAAUACUAAUUUAAAUUUAUUUAAAAGGUGAAAAUACCUUUAUUUAAAAAAAAGACGAGAAGACCCUAAGAAUUUUUAUUAAUUUAAUUUAAAAAUUAAUUUUUGUUGGGGCGACAAAUUAGAAUUUUAAACCUAAUUUUUUAAACAGGCGAAUUUUUUAAGUAAUAGAAAAUUACCUUAGGGAUAACAGCAUAAUGUUUUUUAAGUUUGUGACCUCGAUGUUGGACUAGGAACUUUAUGGCUAGCAGUCAAAAAAGAUUUAUUCUGUUCGAAUAAUUUUAUCCU
rnacentral:rRNA from 1 species